rnacentral:tRNA from 1 species
GGUGGCUCAGUGGUAGAGCGCUUGCCUUGCAAGCAUGAGGUCCUGGGUUCGAUUCCUCAGCACCA